UACGGAGGGGGCUAGCGUUGUUCGGAAUUACUGGGCGUAAAGCGUACGUAGGCGGCUUUGUAAGUUAGAGGUGAAAGCCCGGGGCUUAACCCCGGAAUUGCCUUUAAGACUGCAUCGCUUGAAUCAUGGAGAGGUGAGUGGAAUUCCGAGUGUAGAGGUGAAAUUCGUAGAUAUCCGGAAGAACACCAGUGGCGAAGGCGACUCACUGGACAUGUAUUGACGCUGAGGUACGAAAGCGUGGGGAGCAAACAGG
rnacentral:rRNA from 1 species